rnacentral:lncRNA from 1 species
CAAACGCUGUACGCUUUAAUGUAACGUUGUGCAGCUUUAUGUCAUCUAACUCACUUUUUGGACAACAAAGGAGAAUAACAGCUGGCAGGCUGGGCACUCCUCAUUUGGCAGCUAAAGAGAGCUGAAUUGCGGGCCGAGCCAGCGUGGGGCUGAACACAUGGCCAGCGCUCAGUCAGGUGAAAGUGUCUCCCCCAUGCUGGCGUCUGAAAUACCCGUCUCCAGGUCCCACUGUGGCCCCUGCCUGCCAGCUGGAGCCCCCUGACCUUUCUAAUACAGCCAGGCCUGGAGUGCCGUCACUGGGCAGGACACAGAAAUGAAUGAACGGGCAGAGAAAGACAAAGUGUAUUUGGACGAUGACAUCAUACAUGCUGAAGCAUUCAAAUGGGCCCAAUGGAGAGCGUAUGGCCUGCAUGUCUGGUAUCUACCUGGUCUCCAGCUUUAUUAUUCAGGACUUCUGCAAAGUGGAGGAUAACAAGCACUGAAGGUUCACAGAGCUGUCUAAAUGUAUCCAAGGAAGUUAAUACUAUUUUCACAGAAUACAUGACGAAAUAUCCUACAUGCAACAUGCGUAGUGGAAAAUGUGAAAACUCUAGGAGAGUUAAUUGUGAAUGAGGCCAUAAAAAUAUGUGAAAUAUAUAAAUAUGAAUGGC